UACGUAGGCAGCGAGCGUUGUUCGGAGUUACUGGGCGUAAAGAGUGCGUAGGCGGUUUUCUAAGUUUGGUGUGAAAUCUCCCGGCUUAACUGGGAGGGUGCGCCGAAGACUGGAAGGCUUGAGUAUGGGAGAGGUAAGCGGAAUUCCUGGUGUAGCGGUGAAAUGCGUAGAUAUCAGGAGGAACACCUGCAGUGUAGACGGCUUACUGGACCAUAACUGACGCUGAGGCACGAAAGCGUGGGUAGCAAACAGG
rnacentral:rRNA from 1 species